CGGAGGUAUGUUCGAAAUUUAUGCAGAUUCGAUGUUUAGUUUUUGAACAGCCAUGAAAAUCAUUGAUUGCUGAUUAGUUCGAAUAACCCUAAAAUAUUUUGUAUAAAUUAUGGUUUAGACUGACUGAUUACUAAUUCAACUUUUUUUUUCGUCUUAAAAAAUUUGGGUUCAUACUGGUGUUGCUGCAUAGAUGACUCAAAACAAGGGGAAACAUAAACGUUUGCCAGUUUGUUCAUCAAUUCAAAAGAAGAAAACCACGUGCGAAUCAUCAGAUUCAUCUACUAAUGACGAAGUUCUCUACUGAUCUAGGGACCCAGGGGUAUUGAAGAGGAUGAGGUCUAGGAAGGAGGAGAUUCACCAAGCUCUGUCAGGGUGGUAUCUACAGAUUCCGGUCUAGCUCCCAAGCGUUCUUGAACGUCCUGGUGCAUAGUGUUUGGCAACUCGAAUCAGACACUUGAGGCAGCGCAUGAUGCACCAGAAAUUUAUUCAUAAAUUUCCUACGCUGCAUUUGGUGUAUGGAAGAGUUUGAAUCCGUGAGCAAGACAAAAUGACUAGUUUAGUGAAAGUUAUCAAGGUGGGAUGGGUGAUCGUCCGAGAAAGGGAUAUGCAAGUAGUAUUUGUGGCUCCAGAAUGAGUUGAACAACUAUUCAGAGUGUUAAAGUAGAUAUUCGAUUACUUUUGUUCACUUAUUUAUAAUAUGUUCAUUCAUAAAAAUCUGUAUGUAUUAAUUUAAUUUAACUUAUUGUUCAG